rnacentral:rRNA from 1 species
UGGGGGAUAUUGUACAAUGGGCGAAAGCCUGAUGCAGCGACGCCGCGUGGGGGAUGAAGGCCUUCGGGUUGUAAACUUCUUUUGCUCUGAACAAGGCAUGCCUUUGGGGUGUGUUGAGUGUAGGGGUUGAUUAGCGCCGGCUAACUACGUGCCAGCAGCCGCGGUAAUACGUAGGGCGCGAGCGUUGUCCGGAAUUAUUGGGCGUAAAGGGCUUGUAGGUGGCUGGUUGCGUCUGUCGUGAAAGCUCAUGGCUUAACUGUGGGUUUGCGGUGGGUACGGGCUGGCUUGAGUGCAGUAGGGGAGGCUGGAAUUCCUGGUGUAGCGGUGGAGUGCGCAGAUAUCGGGAGGAAUACCGGUGGCGAAGGCGGGUCUCUGGGCUGUUACUGACGCUGGGGAGCGAAAGCGUGGGGAGCGAACAGG